rnacentral:tRNA from 1 species
GAAAAUUUUUAAAGCUGCUAACUUUUAUAAACAUAUUUCUUUUCU